UACGUAGGGGGCGAGCGUUGUCCGGAUUUAUUGGGCGUAAAGAGCUCGUAGGCGGUUUGGCAAGUCGGAUGUGAAAUCUCCAGGCUCAACCUGGAGGGGUCAUUCGAAACUGCUAUGACUAGAGUUCGGUAGAGGAGUGUGGAAUUCCUGGUGGAGCGGUGAAAUGCGCAGAGAUCAGGAGGAACACCUAUGGCGAAGGCAGCACUCUGGUACGUGACUGACGCUGAGACGCGAAAGCGUGGGGAGCAAACGGG
rnacentral:rRNA from 1 species